AGGACCAUGUUAAGUAGGACUGUUUUACUAAUCCUCAUGAUCCAGAUGACGUUCUGUUCACGUUCCAGCACACAGCAGGUGGGAGAGUGGAUUUGUUAGGCUGGUUUGUAGAAAAUCAACACAGCUGUCAGCCAUCACAGAAAGGUUUCUCCCAUCCCAGUCUCAGACAGCUA